CCUACGGGGGGCAGCAGUGGGGAAUAUUGGGCAAUGGACGCAAGUCUGACCCAGCAACGCCGCGUGAAGGAAGAAGGCUUUCGGGUUGUAAACUUCUUUUAAGGGGGAAGAGCAGAAGACGGUACCCCUUGAAUAAGCCACGGCUAACUACGUGCCAGCAGCCGCGGUAAUACGUAGGUGGCAAGCGUUGUCCGGAUUUACUGGGUGUAAAGGGCGUGCAGCCGGGGAGACAAGUCAGAUGUGAAAUCCACGGGCUCAACCCGUGAACUGCAUUUGAAACUGUUUCCCUUGAGUGUCGGAGAGGUAAUCGGAAUUCCUUGUGUAGCGGUGAAAUGCGUAGAUAUAACUUAGAACCCCGAUAGCGAAGGCAGCUUACCAGACUGUUACUGACGCUGAAGCACGAGAGCGUGGGUAGCGAACAGGAUUAGAUACCCUUGUAGUC
rnacentral:rRNA from 1 species